rnacentral:rRNA from 1 species
UAAUACGUAGGGGGCGAGCGUUAUCCGGAUUUACUGGGCGUAAAGCGCGUUAAGGCGGUUGGCAAAGUUGGUUGUGAAAUCUCAGGGCUCAACCCUGAAAUUGCGACCAAUACUGGUCGACUAGAGUGUGAGAGAGGAAGGUGGAAUUCCCGGUGUAGUAGUGAAAUGCGUAGAUAUCGGGAGGAACACCAGUGGCGAAGGCGGCCUUCUGGCUCAUAACUGACGCUGUAGCGCGAAAGCGUGGGGAGCGAACCGGAUUAGAUACCCGGGUAGUCCACGCCCUAAACGUUGUGUACUAGGUGUUGGGCGUAUUGACGCGCUCAGUGCCGUAGCUAACGCAUUAAGUACACCGCCUGGGGAGUACGGUCGCAAGAUUA